AGAGUUUGAUCCUGGCUCAGGAUGAACGCUGGCGGCGUGCCUAAUACAUACAAGUCGAGCGAACGGACGAGAAGCUUGCUUCUCUGAUGUUAGCGGCGGACGGGUGAGUAACACGUGGAUAACCUACCUAUAAGACUGGGAUAACUUCGGGAAACCGGAGCUAAUACCGGAUAAUAUUUUGAACCGCAUGGUUCAAAAGUAAAAGACGGUCUUGCUGUCACUUAUAGAUGGAUCCGCGCUGCAUUAGCUAGUUGGUAAGGUAACGGCUUACCAAGGCAACGAUGCAUAGCCGACCUGAGAGGGUGAUCGGCCACACUGGAACUGAGACACGGUCCAGACUCCUACGGGAGGCAGCAGUAGGGAAUCUUCCGCAAUGGGCGAAAGCCUGACGGAGCAACGCCGCGUGAGUGAUGAAGGUCUUCGGAUCGUAAAACUCUGUUAUUAGGGAAGAACAUAUGUGUAAGUAACUGUGCACAUCUUGACGGUACCUAAUCAGAAAGCCACGGCUAACUACGUGCCAGCAGCCGCGGUAAUACGUAGGUGGCAAGCGUUAUCCGGAAUUAUUGGGCGUAAAGCGCGCGUAGGCGGUUUUUUAAGUCUGAUGUGAAAGCCCACGGCUCAACCGUGGAGGGUCAUUGGAAACUGGAAAACUUGAGUGCAGAAGAGGAAAGUGGAAUUCCAUGUGUAGCGGUGAAAUGCGCAGAGAUAUGGAGGAACACCAGUGGCGAAGGCGACUUUCUGGUCUGUAACUGACGCUGAUGUGCGAAAGCGUGGGGAUCAAACAGGAUUAGAUACCCUGGUAGUCCACGCCGUAAACGAUGAGUGCUAAGUGUUAGGGGGUUUCCGCCCCUUAGUGCUGCAGCUAACGCAUUAAGCACUCCGCCUGGGGAGUACGACCGCAAGGUUGAAACUCAAAGGAAUUGACGGGGACCCGCACAAGCGGUGGAGCAUGUGGUUUAAUUCGAAGCAACGCGAAGAACCUUACCAAAUCUUGACAUCCUUUGACAACUCUAGAGAUAGAGCCUUCCCCUUCGGGGGACAAAGUGACAGGUGGUGCAUGGUUGUCGUCAGCUCGUGUCGUGAGAUGUUGGGUUAAGUCCCGCAACGAGCGCAACCCUUAAGCUUAGUUGCCAUCAUUAAGUUGGGCACUCUAAGUUGACUGCCGGUGACAAACCGGAGGAAGGUGGGGAUGACGUCAAAUCAUCAUGCCCCUUAUGAUUUGGGCUACACACGUGCUACAAUGGACAAUACAAAGGGCAGCGAAACCGCGAGGUCAAGCAAAUCCCAUAAAGUUGUUCUCAGUUCGGAUUGUAGUCUGCAACUCGACUACAUGAAGCUGGAAUCGCUAGUAAUCGUAGAUCAGCAUGCUACGGUGAAUACGUUCCCGGGUCUUGUACACACCGCCCGUCACACCACGAGAGUUUGUAACACCCGAAGCCGGUGGAGUAACCUUUUAGGAGCUAGCCGUCGAAGGUGGGACAAAUGAUUGGGGUGAAGUCGUAACAAGGUAGCCGUAUCGGAAGGUGCGGCUGGAUCACCU
rnacentral:rRNA from 1 species